rnacentral:rRNA from 1 species
AGGGUGUAAACGCUGCAGACUUGGUGUUGGAGGCCCUUUGGGGGCAUUCAGUGCCGGAGAGAAGUUGUUAAGUCUGCUACUUGGGGAGUACGUCCGCAAGGAUGAAACUUAAAGGAAUUGGCGGGGGAGCACCGCAACGGGAGGAGCGUGCGGUUUAAUUGGAUUCAACACCGUAAACUCACCAGGGAAGACUGUUACAUGAAGGCCGAGAUGAAGACUCUGCUAGACUUUCAGAGAGGUGGUGCAUGGCGUCAGUGACU